CACACAUCCACGAAAAUUUCAAUUCCCGCAUUUAUUUCAUUUCCUCCACGCCAAAGCCUUACUCCGCCGCUCCAUCCUUCCAGAGACAUCUCGCCUUGCCGGAGUAGGUGAAGGAACCGGUUGAUAACCUUGUAAGCAAGAGGAAAAGAUCAGGGUUUAGACCAACAACACUGCAUCUUCAGCCACCAUUCCUUCUCGCCAUCAGCUCAAUGAAGCCUAUUUAGUGCAGCAUGUCCAGCCACACAAAGGUUGUAUCUAUGGACUCGGCAUGACUCAGGCUCAAGAUAAGGAACCAAACAAUACAAUCCAUGCUUGUCUCCCGAAAUGUAGAUAUGGAGAUGCGGGUGGCAAGCUUGACUAAGUGUUUGUUUUCCAUUUGUUUCUAGUUUUUUUACAUGACUAAGUGUUUGUUUUUCAUUUGUUUCUAGUCUGUUUACAUGACUAAGUGUUUGUUAAU